rnacentral:misc_RNA from 1 species
UGGUUCUGGCAUCGAUGAAGAACGCAGCGAAAUGCGAUAAGUAAUGUGAAUUGCAGAAUUUAGUGAAUCAUCGAAUCUUUGAACGCACAUUGCGCCCCUUGGUAUCCCGAGGGGCAUGCCUGUCCGAGCGUCAUUUACGCUGCUCAAGCAGUCUUGCUUGGUGUUGGGUUACGCUAGCGAUAGCGGGCCCUAAAUCUAGAGGCGGCGCCGCUAGGACCCGAGCGUAGUACAUACACCAUCGCUACGGGUGCUAGCGCGCGGUGACCAUCAACCCCUAUUUCUUAAGGUCGACCUCGGAUCAGGUAGGGAUACCCGCUGA